rnacentral:rRNA from 1 species
UACGUAGGGCGCAAGCGUUGUCCGGAAUUAUUGGGCGUAAAGAGCUCGUAGGCGGCUUGUUGCGUCGGUUGUGAAAGCCCGGGGCUUAACCCCGGGUCUGCAGUCGAUACGGGCAGGCUAGAGUGUGGUAGGGGAGAUCGGAAUUCCUGGUGUAGCGGUGAAAUGCGCAGAUAUCGGGAGGAACACCAGUAGCGAAGGCGGUUCUCUGGGCCGGUACUGACGCUGAGGAGCGAAAGCGUGGGGAGCAAACAGG